AAAGGAAUUGACGGGGGCCCGCACAAGCGGAGGAACAUGUGGUUUAAUUCGAUGAUACGCGAGGAACCUUACCCGGGCUUGAAUUGUGAGAGAAGGAUCCAGAGAUGGUGACGCCCUUCGGGGCUCUCAUGAAGGUGCUGCAUGGUUGUCGUCAGCUCGUGCCGUGAGGUGUCGGCUUAAGUGCCAUAACGAGCGCAACCCCUCUCUUCAGUUGCCAUCAGGUUAAGCUGGGCACUCUGGAGACACUGCCACCGUAAGGUGUGAGGAAGGUGGGGAUGACGUCAAAUCAGCACGGCCCUUACGUCCGGGGCUACACACGUGUUACAAUGGGUGGUACAGAGAGUUGGGUGCCCGCAAGGUCACUCUAAUCAAUAAAUCCAUCCUCAGUUCGGACUGGGGUCUGCAACCCGACCCCACGAAGCUGGAUUCGCUAGUAAUCGCGCAUCAGCCAUGGCGCGGUGAAUACGUUCCCGGGCCUUGUACACACCGCCCGU
rnacentral:rRNA from 1 species